rnacentral:rRNA from 1 species
UACGGAGGGUGCAAGCGUUGUUCGGAAUCAUUGGGCGUAAAGCGCGUGUAGGCGGCCAAGUAAGUCUGGUGUGAAAGCCCGGGGCUUAACCCCGGAAGUGCACUGGAUACUGUUUGGCUAGAGGACGAGAGAGGGAAGUGGAAUUCCUGGUGUAGGGGUGAAAUCCGUAGAUAUCAGGAGGAACAUCGGUGGCGAAGGCGACUUCCUGGCUCGUUUCUGACGCUCAGACGCGAAAGCGUGGGGAGCAAACAGG